rnacentral:rRNA from 1 species
UACGUAGGGUGCAAGCGUUGUCCGGAAUUAUUGGGCGUAAAGAGCUCGUAGGCGGUCUGUCGCGUCGGAUGUGAAAACCCAGGGCUCAACCCUGGGCCUGCAUUCGAUACGGGCAGACUAGAGUUCGGUAGGGGAGACUGGAAUUCCUGGUGUAGCGGUGAAAUGCGCAGAUAUCAGGAGGAACACCGGUGGCGAAGGCGGGUCUCUGGGCCGAAACUGACGCUCAGGCACGAAAGCGUGGGUAGCGAACAGG